UCACCGAAGUUGGGACUUCGACACAGUUUUUCCGCAGUGCCGAAAAAACUUGUCGAAAUCCAAUUCUUCCUCUUUUAACCACCUCUACAACCCUUAUCCAACCCCUCUAGACUACAUCCACCCUUUGUAUAGCCUAAUUUCAUCAAAAGACUAGGUAGGGAUGGGUAUUUACCUUUUUCUCUUCAAAAAAACGAGGUCUUUGCGUAGAGGGGAAGGAGAUCUACGCUUUUUCCUUCAGUUGGCAGCGCAACCGGGGCUCCCUUCCCUUCUUCUUUCUUCUUCUUCUUCCUCUUCUUUUCUUCCUUUCUUUUCUUCUUCUUCUUUUCCUUCUCUCUGUCACGCCUGAGACUCCCCCCUCUCCUCUUUGUUUCAUUCCACUCCACGUCUGAGCCACCAAACCCAUGAAUUAAGUCACAUCAAAUGCUAAAUUUCCCAUUUUGCCCCUAACACUUCGACAUAUCUACUGUUAUGCCAUUAAUUUUUGAUUCCUUCUAGUUUUACCCUU
rnacentral:lncRNA from 1 species